rnacentral:rRNA from 1 species
UACAGAGGGGGCAAGCGUUAUUCGGAAUUAUUGGGCGUAAAGGGCGCGUAGGCGGCCAUGCGUGUCUUCCGUGAAAUCCCUCGGCUUAACUGAGGACGUGCGGAAGAAACUGCAAGGCUCGAGUCCGGGAGAGGGGGGGUGGAAUUCCCAGUGUAGCGGUGAAAUGCGUAGAUAUUGGGAGGAGCACCGGUGGCGAAGGCGGCCCCCUGGACCGGUACUGACGCUGAGGCGCGAAAGCGUGGGGAGCGAACAGG